AUCUAAAUAGUUUAAUAAAAAUUUUAGUUUGUGAUACUAAAGAUAUAAAUUUUAUUUUAGAUU
rnacentral:tRNA from 1 species